rnacentral:lncRNA from 1 species
AACGAUUUAGUAGCUGGAUUCAAACUUAAAGAUUUUAAAAUUAAAAGUAGAAUAUUCGGGUCAUACUUUGAAAAAGUAAGAAUGAGGAAAGAAGAAUGGAAGGAUUCGUAUAAUAGAGAAACAAGCGUUACGGAAUGAAAAUGUGAAAGCACAGAGGGUAGAAAUGUAGAAUCGGCGAUCUCCCUUAUUAGAUGUUGAGAAGAUGCGGAUGCGUUGGAAGGGUGAAGAAGUAGCG